rnacentral:rRNA from 1 species
GAUGAACGCUGGCGGCGUGCCUAAUACAUGCAAGUCGAGCGGACAGACGAGGAGCUUGCUCCUCUGACGUUAGCGGCGGACGGGUGAGUAACACGUGGAUAACCUACCUAUAAGACUGGGAUAACUUCGGGAAACCGGAGCUAAUACCGGAUAAUAUAUUGAACCGCAUGGUUCAAUAGUGAAAGACGGUUUUGCUGUCACUUAUAGAUGGAUCCGCGCCGCAUUAGCUAGUUGGUAAGGUAACGGCUUACCAAGGCAACGAUGCGUAGCCGACCUGAGAGGGUGAUCGGCCACCCUGGAACUGAGACACGGUCCAGACUCCUACGGGAGGCAGCAGUAGGGAAUCUUCCGCAAUGGGCGAAAGCUUGACGGAGCAACGCCGCGUGAGUGAUGAAGGUCUUCGGAUCGUAAAACUCUGUUAUUAGGGAAGAACAAAUGUGUAAGUAACUAUGCACGUCUUGACGGUACCUAAUCAGAAAGCCACGGCUAACUACGUG